CCUACGGGAGGCAGCAGUGAGGAAUAUUGGUCAAUAGCCGGGAGGCUGAACCAGCCAAGUCGCGUGAGGGAAGACGGCCCUACGGGUUGUAAACCUCUUUUGUCAGGGAGCAAGGUGCAGGUCGGGACCUGCUGUGAGAGUACCUGAAGAAAAAGCAUCGGCUAACUCCGUGCCAGCAGCCGCGGUAAUACGGAGGAUGCGAGCGUUAUCCGGAUUUAUUGGGUUUAAAGGGUGUGCAGGCGGAGGCACAAGUCAGCGGUAAAAUCGCGGGGCUCAACCCCGCUCCGCCGUUGAAACUGUGUGCCUUGAGUGCGCGAAGGGUAGGCGGAAUGCGUGGUGUAGCGGUGAAAUGCAUAGAUAUCACGCAGAACUCCGAUCGCGAAGGCAGCCUACCGGCGCGAAACUGACGCUCAGGCACGAAAGCGUGGGUAUCGAACAGGAUUAGAUACCCUAGUAGUC
rnacentral:rRNA from 1 species